GUAGGUCCCGAGCGUUGUCCGGAUUUAUUGGGCGUAAAGCGAGCGCAGGCGGUUAGAUAAGUCUGAAGUUAAAGGCUGUGGCUUAACCAUAGUACGCUUUGGAAACUGUUUAACUUGAGUGCAAGAGGGGAGAGUGGAAUUCCAUGUGUAGCGGUGAAAUGCGUAGAUAUAUGGAGGAACACCGGUGGCGAAAGCGGCUCUCUGGCUUGUAACUGACGCUGAGGCUCGAAAGCGUGGGGAGCAAACAGGAUUAGAUACCCUGGUAGUCCACGCCGUAAACGAUGAGUGCUAGGUGUUAGACCCUUUCCGGGGUUUAGUGCCGUAGCUAACGCAUUAAGCACUCCGCCUGGGGAGUACGACCGCAAGGUUGAA
rnacentral:rRNA from 1 species